rnacentral:lncRNA from 1 species
CUCGUAUUUUCGGAGUGUGGUGAUCAACUCUAUACCUUUGGCUCUUAUCUCCAUAUAGAUAGUAGAUCAAGGUUCUUCUUUCUAUAGAAAUUAGGUCACGUUUUAUAACGUUGGUUCGUUUCUGAUUCAUUUUAAGUUCGUAAGUUAUAUCACAAAUUAUCUAUUUAUUUUAUUUUCAUUCGAAUUUUCUACCAUAUUUUAAAAGAGUACUUGUUAAGAACGACCGGGAACUUAAAAUCGUAACUCGUGAUUUUAAGAGGUUAACGUAAGUAAAACUCUAAAAAAUAUAUUAUUUUAAUUGCUUUGUUGCAUCUAAUCAAACUUUGAAAUUUUUGUCAAUAAAGCAAGUAAUUAGACGACAAUGAAGUUUUCCAGUUAUGUUUUGUUUGAGGGUAUAUUAGUAUUACAUUAUUUGAAAUUGGGUUGAAUAUAGAAUAUAGAAUAUAGAAUAAAUGUUUGAUAUUAGGACAUGAGAUUUGAUGCUUAAUUCCAGUUCAACCAUGUUUCACUUGAAAAGCACAAGUUCAAAUCAAAGUUGAUUAAUACUAAUUAAAACAGAAAAAAUUCGAUCAAACCCACAAAGUUCAGUUCUAAACAAAAUUUGCUUUAAGUAAAUAAAUAAUAUAAAUUAAAGCUUUGAUUAGAUUCAUUUAUCCAAUAAAAUAUAAACCCGAGCUUAUUUUUAACCCUAAACUCAAAUAAAGUUUAACAAUAAUUAUAAAUAUAAAUAUUUUACUUACGUCACGUAUAAGUAAAAUCUAUUUUCCACUUUCCCAAGUAAGAACAAAAUUUGUUUGAAUGGACGUGAAGUUGACAUGAAACCAUAUAUGAAAGCAUCCGUUAUGGUUGUUUUUCUGCAGAGUCAUUUUCUUGUGGAGUAAUGAAGCAAUUUUCUUUUUAUAUGAUGGUAGCUGUCGAUAUAAUGAUCAGCUUCAAACGAAAAGACGAACCAUUUUAUUUUCCAGCAGUCCCAACUCUACGUUAAUAAUCACACGAACGUGCUAGAAAGUAAGAACAGUUGGCUAUUUUCCUAGGGCAUGAGAAGCAGGCAAAUAAUUUGGGAGACCUUGGAUUUGACAUUUCCAGUUUGCCAUUGCCUACCCACUUUUUCCCAUCACUAAACCUUAAUUAGCAGUGCUAUGUAUGUAUGCAUAUAUCAUUGUAAUAGCUGCUCUGGUGAGGCAAAUGAACAAUGCUCGACUCUUUAUGGACAUGCAAUAUGUGCAUGCAUGGUCCUUAAUUUAUGGUUACUUUAUCGUAAAUAUAUGAACAAGUGUUUUGUGCAGUCCUUGGGAUUUUAUCUUUUAAAGAUAACGUUUAUUGGAUCAUGAAUUUUAAUGAGAUUAGUCUCUGUAAAUCGUACAACGAAUAUAAAAAAUAUCGUUGUUCUACGAUUUCAGUCUAUAUGUACAAGCAUUCACAUUGUGGAAUAGGACCAACAGACAGAUGAAAUGUCCACAUUAAGUCAUGAAGAUGCAUGAGGGGGGCUGCUGCAACUUGUUUGAAUGCAACAUGCACAACUGUCCACUAUUAGUUCUUAUCUCCACCAAGCUGCCUCAUUAGGUUUAAUUUAUGAGAUUAAUGUCCCCGAAUAUAACUUGCAAUUUUAUGUUUAAAUUCAAUAUUUUACGUACACCGGAAGAAUAUUUAACGGAUUCAAUAUUUUGAAAACAAAAUUUCAUCAGAUUGGUUUUUAUUUUUAUUUUUUAUAUUCAUUUAUGUUCGAGGUUUGAGC